UAGGGAAUCUUCGGCAAUGGGGGGAACCCUGACCGAGCAACGCCGCGUGAGUGAAGAAGGUUUUCGGAUCGUAAAGCUCUGUUGUUAAGGAAGAACGAGUGUGAGAAUGGAAAGUUCAUACUGUGACGGUACUUAACCAGAAAGGGACGGCUAACUACGUGCCAGCAGCCGCGGUAAUACGUAGGUCCCGAGCGUUGUCCGGAUUUAUUGGGCGUAAAGCGAGCGCAGGCGGUUAGAAAAGUCUGAAGUGAAAGGCAGUGGCUCAACCAUUGUAGGCUUUGGAAACUGUUUAACUUGAGUGCAGAAGGGGAGAGUGGAAUUCCAUGUGUAGCGGUGAAAUGCGUAGAUAUAUGGAGGAACACCGGUAGCGAAGGCGGCUCUCUGGUCUGUAACUGACGCGGAGGCUCGAAAGCGUGGGGAGCGAACAGG
rnacentral:rRNA from 1 species